rnacentral:rRNA from 1 species
CCUACGGGCGGCAGCAGUAGGGAAUCUUUCACAAUGGGCGAAAGCCUGAUGGAGCAACGCCGCGUGCAGGAUGAAGGCCUUCGGGUUGUAAACUGCUUUUAUAAGCGAGAAAUAUGAUGGUAACUUAUGAAUAAGGAUCGGCUAACUACGUGCCAGCAGCCGCGGUCAUACGUAGGAUCCGAGCAUUAUCCGGAGUGACUGGGUGUAAAGAGUUGCGUAGGUGGCAUAAUAAGUAGCUAGUGAAAUCUGGUGGCUCAACCAUUCAGACUAUUAGCUAAACUGUUAAGCUCGAGACCGUUAGGGGUAACUGGAAUUUCUAGUGUAGGAGUGAAAUCCGUAGAUAUUAGAAGGAACACCAAUAGCGUAGGCAGGUUGCUGGGACGGGUCUGACACUAAGGCACGAAAGCGUAGGGAGCAAACGGGAUUAGAUACCCGUGUAGUC